CCACUAUAAUUCGAGUUUUCCAGCACGUGCAGCACACAUGCUAGCUUUAGAAAUCCCAUUUUUUUAAAUUAUGGGCCUACUUUAAAGAUUGUGCAUAUCAAAUUUGGGAUCUUUUUUGGGUUGGGGUAUUAUAAGAUGGAUCUACUAAACUAAUGCAUAACAUUCAUUAGCAGGAUCCACUGAACUAAUGCAAAACCCCCAUUGAUA
rnacentral:lncRNA from 1 species